rnacentral:rRNA from 1 species
AUUGAACGCUGGCGGCAGGCUUAACACAUGCAAGUCGAGCGGAGAUGAGGUGCUUGCACCUUAUCUUAGCGGCGGACGGGUGAGUAAUGCUUAGGAAUCUGCCUAUUAGUGGGGGACAACAUUCCGAAAGGAAUGCUAAUACCGCAUACGUCCUACGGGAGAAAGCAGGGGAUCUUCGGACCUUGCGCUAAUAGAUGAGCCUAAGUCGGAUUAGCUAGUUGGUGGGGUAAAGGCCUACCAAGGCGACGAUCUGUAGCGGGUCUGAGAGGAUGAUCCGACACACUGGGACUGAGACACGGCCCAGACUCCUGCGGGAGGCAGCAGUGGGGAAUAUUGGACAAUGGGCGGAAGCCUGAUCCAGCCAUGCCGCGUGUGUGAAGAAGGCCUUAUGGUUGUAAAGCACUUUAAGCGAGGAGGAGGCUACUUUAGUUAAUACCUAGAGAUAGUGGACGUUACUCGCAGAAUAAGCACCGGCUAACUCUGUGCCAGCAGCCGCAGUAACAC